rnacentral:rRNA from 1 species
CCUACGGGUGGCUGCAGUGAGGAAUAUUGGUCAAUGGACGAGAGUCUGAACCAGCCAAGUAGCGUGAAGGAUGACUGCCCUGUGGGUUGUAGACUUCUUUUAUAUGGGAAUAAAAUGUUGCACGUGUGGGAUCUUGUAUGUACCCUAUGAAUAAGGAUCGGCUAACUCCGUGCCAGCAGCCGCGGUAAUACGGAGGAUCCGAGCGUUAUCUGGAUUUAUUGGGUUUAAAGGGUGCGUAGGUGGGUUGUUAAGUCAGUUGUGAAAGUUUGCGGCUCAACCGUAAAAGUGCAGUUGAAACUGGCGGCCUUGAGUGCAGUAGAGGCGGGCGGAAUGCGUGGUGUAGCGGUGAAAUGCUUAGAUAUCACGAAGAACUCCGAUUGCGAAGGCAGCUCGCUGGACUGCAACUGACACUGAGGCUCGAAAGUGUGGGUAUCAAACAGGAUUAGAUACCCUAGUAGUC